CAGAAUGACUAUUGCCUAGACAAUAUCGGGGCACCAUUGACUCAUGACCUGUUUGGUGAAAAAAGUUAUUAGGGCAGGCUGGGAGAGCCUUGUCUUUGUGUUUGAGUGUACAUUCGUAAGGAUAAGGCCCAGACCAUGCUAGGUUGAGAGGCUGCAGUACCCUGAGGAAAACCUGAAUCUUCCAGAGAAGCAGCAUCCAUCUGCCCCUCCUCAACCUCCACGAUGUCCACAUGCCUCCUGAGAACUGAAGCUCUCUGGCGAAGUUGCAUCCCAUGUUAAAGAUCCUCUGUUGAAGCCAAGCAUGCACAGAGGGACACAGAGUAAAUUAUUAACUUGAGUAGAAACAGGUACUAAUCUUCC
rnacentral:lncRNA from 1 species